UUAGGAAUUUUGUGCAAUGGGGGAAACCCUGACACAGCCACGCCGCGUGCGGGAUGAAGGCCUUCGGGUCGUAAACCGCUUUUCUCAAGGAAGACACCCGACGGUACUUGAGGAAUAAGCAACGGCUAACUACGUGCCAGCAGCCGCGGUAAUACGUAGGUUGCGAGCGUUGUCCGGAUUUACUGGGUGUAAAGCGCGCGCAGGCGGUCUCGAAAGUCCACGGUGAAAGCUCCCGGCCCAACUGGGAGAGGCCCGUGGAAACUUCGAGACUUGAAGGCGGGAGAGGCAAAUGGAAUUUCCGGUGUAGCGGUAAAAUGCGUAGAUACCGGAAGGAACACCAGUGGCGAAGGCGAUUUGCUGGCCCGCCCUUGACGCUCAGGCGCGAAAGCUAGGGGAGCAAAC
rnacentral:rRNA from 1 species